AGAGUUUGAUCCUGGCUCAGAACGAACGCUGGCGGCAGGCCUAACACAUGCAAGUCGAACGCAACUUCGGUUGAGUGGCGCACGGGUGAGUAACGCGUGGGAACCUGUCCUAUGGUACGGAACAACAUCGGGAAACUGGUGCUAAUACCGUAUAAGCCCCGAGGGGGAAAGAUUUAUCGCCAUAGGAGGGGCCCGCGUAG
rnacentral:rRNA from 1 species